rnacentral:rRNA from 1 species
AAUACGUUCCCGGGCCUUGUACACACCGCCCGUCAAGCCAUGGAAGCUGGGGGUACCUGAAGUCGGUGACCGCAAGGAGCUGCCUAGGGUAAAACUAGUAACUGGGGCU